rnacentral:rRNA from 1 species
AUUGAACGCUGGCGGCAGGCUUAACACAUGCAAGUCGAGCGGGGUGAUGGUGCUUGCACUAUCACUUAGCGGCGGACGGGUGAGUAAUGCUUAGGAAUCUGCCUAUUAGUGGGGGACAACAUCUCGAAAGGGAUGCUAAUACCGCAUACGUCCUACGGGAGAAAGCAGGGGAUCACUUGUGACCUUGCGCUAAUAGAUGAGCCUAAGUCGGAUUAGCUAGUUGGUGGGGUAAAGGCCUACCAAGGCGACGAUCUGUAGCGGGUCUGAGAGGAUGAUCCGCCACACUGGGACUGAGACACGGGCCAGACUCCUACGGGAGGCAGCAGUGGGGAAUAUUGGACAAUGGGGGGAACCCUGAUCCAGCCAUGCCGCGUGUGUGAAGAAGGCCUUAUGGUUGUAAAGCACUUUAAGCGAGGAGGAGGCUCUUUUGGUCAAUACCCAAGAUGAGUGGACGUUACUCGCAGAAUAAGCACCGGCUAACUCUGUGCCAGCCGCCGCGGUAA